UACGUAGGGCGCAAGCGUUGUCCGGAAUUAUUGGGCGUAAAGAGCUUGUAGGCGGUUUGUCGCGUCUGCCGUUAAAAUUCGAGGCUCAAACCUCGAACUUGCGGUGGGUACGGGCAGACUAGAGUGUGGUAGGGGAGACUGGAAUUCCUGGUGUAGCGGUGAAAUGCGCAGAUAUCAGGAGGAACACCGAUGGCGAAGGCAGAUCUCUGGGCCGUAACUGACGCUGAGGAGCGAAAGCAUGGGGAGCGAACAGG
rnacentral:rRNA from 1 species